ensembl:lncRNA
GUGCCCGUGUGGCGUGCUGGCUAGCGGUGGGUUGGAACAGACAAGCAGUUAUUCUAGUAACGAUCAGUGCACGAAGUGGAGCUUCGGAACUGGCAUUACAGACGGAGAGCGAGCGGAGCCGGGAUGAGAAAAAGAGUCGAGAGGAAAAACACUCACAGUUGGUGAAUCAGGCGGCAACUGACGUCGGCAAGGUUUCGGAGCUCCUGACAUGAAGAGAACGAUGUCUGAGCGGCGAACAGCCUCUCCCUUCUACAGAUCCAACCCAUCCGUGGAAACCAGGAGACGCGGUGUUGGUGAAGUCGCUAAAACCAAGGACACUCGGGGAGGCCGCGUUUUCCAGCCCCCAGACUGUGCUUGCAGUGACGAGAACCAGCAUCCUUACAGACGGACAACCGCAGUGGAUACACGCCAGCAGGGUUAAGAGCAGCGCCACUGGACCAUCACAGGCGUCGGAUCAAGCAGACGACGACUCAGGCGAGCCAGCGCCCGGAGCCAAUAUAUAUACACACACGCAAUCACUGAUUAACACACAACUCCUGAAAGAGCCAAGACUCAGAGAGCUCUUUGAUCCUCCACAUGAACAACAACAAGGUACUCGAACAUCCAGCAGGAACAGAAAGCCGAGAGUACCACAUGAU